AGGUCGCUGAAUAAAACAGCGAGGUUCAUGUAAGUUGUUAAAAUCAGCGAUGUUCAGUCUGUGUCACGGAACUCAGGGAAAGAACAGGCUUUUGGCAGAAUUCUUAUUAAACUUUGCUAAUUUGAAUGGCAAACUACCUAAGUUUGCUUUUUCUCAUGGAGUAUACCAAAGGCUAUAAGGUAUGGUGAUGGUUCUCCCUUGGAGGAUGGUCCGCCACGUAAGCACCACGUAGGAUGGGCAUUAGGAUGGGGCAAAGAGGAUGGAGGUAUGAAAAUGGGGGAUGAUCCUAAAUAUAUAUAUAUGUUUGUGAGGUAGUUUUGUCCUCACAUGGACCGUCCCCAUCGGCAAGAAGAAGACGUUCACGACGCGACGGAGGGGGGCGAGCUGGAUGGUGGAACGGCGCCGGAGCUGGACGACGGAGGACGAACCUCCAUACCGUCCAGCCUAAAGUGUUGCAAAAAUCGCGAUUACUCGGCGAUUAAUCGCCGACUAGUCGCUAGUCGGCCUCCUACUGAGUAAUUUUUCACUAAUCAGUCAAAAAAUCGCUAGUCGGUCAAAGCCGGUCCAAGCCGCCCUAGUCGGCCCAAGCCGCCCUAGUCGGCCCAUUUGAAAUCCUUACAAAAUAGGCCCAAGAUUACAACUUUAGCCCAUUUUCCUUAUCUCUUACCCUAAUAUGACGAAGAAUUUGAGUCGGAGAAAGAGGAUGAAGUAGACGAGGAGAUUGAAUACGAGUCGGAUGGUGUUCAAAUCAUUGAACACUACGGGGAUGACGAUUAUAUUUGAGCUAUUUGUUAAUGUUUGAAUUUUAAGUACAGAGACUUGUUAUGUUAUGACUUAUAUGUAAGUUUAGUUUGUAUUUUGAACUACUUUUACCUUUUUAAGUA